rnacentral:pre_miRNA from 1 species
UGCCUACUCCCUCUGUCCGGAAAUACUUGUCAUUAAAAUGGAUAAAAGGGGAUGUAUCUAGAUGUAUUUUAGUUUGAGAUACAUCUCUUUUUAUUUAUUUUGAUGACAAGUAUUUUCGGACGGAGGGAGUAGGUU